rnacentral:rRNA from 1 species
UACGUAGGGGCCGAGCGUUGUCCGGAGUUAUUGGGCGUAAAGCGCGCGCAGGCGGCCUCGCGCGCCCGACGUGAAAGCCCCCGGCUUAACCGGGGAGGGUCGGUGGGGACGGCGGGGCUUGAGGGCGGGAGAGGGUGGUGGAAUUCCCGGUGUAGUGGUGAAAUGCGUAGAGAUCGGGAGGAACACCCGUGGCGAAGGCGGCCACCUGGGCCGACCCUGACGCUGAGGCGCGAAGGCGUGGGGAGCGAACGGG